ACCGUCGCCUUCGCCUCGUCACCAAACCGCCGCAGCGUCUAUACCCUGGCCUCUCUCGUCUUGGCCAAAAAUCCCCUCCAGAGUCCACCCCACCCAUCCAUCCGGCCGGCGCAAUCAACCCGGCCGCACGCGAGGACCACCGCCGAACCCUAGCCCCCCACCCGCCGUCCCACCGCGAGAUCGCGGGAUCGCCCGCCGCCCCGCUCUCCUUCGUCCGCCGCUUGGAUCCGAGAUGGAAUCACUGUCAAUCACUGCUGAAGCUAUUGCUUUUACUGAGAAAAAGAUGGACAUGACUUUGGAGGAUAUUAUCAAGAUGUCAAAGAAAAAGAAUCCUGGGGGCAAGAAACCCCCUAGACAGCCGAUAAAAAAACGCCCGUUCCAGAAUGGCAACGCUAAUCAAGAGAAUGCCAAGGUUCAACGGUUUAUAGAAUCUAGAUCAUCCAUAAGACAAGGGUUUCUUGCACAAAGGAGGUCAAAUCUUGGUGGAAAUCAGUUUCCCGCUACAAAGCAGGCUGCGAAGAAGGCUGCUGCUAUGCCAAUGCGCAACAGGGCUGUCAGAUGGAACAGACCAAGUGCCAGUACCUUAGUGCAGAGGAGGCCUGUGGGUGAUGCUUUUCAGAGUGGCAAGGGCAAGGAGACCCAGAACCAGGUACCAAGGACAAUGGAUGCACUCUUUGCACAAAUGAAAGCGCAACGGAUGAAGAUCACACCACAGCAGCAGAAAUAUCCAGCUCCUGGCCAUCAGUUCAACCAGCAGCGACGUGUUCAGCAGCAACGUCCAGGCAGAGGAUAUGGUGGCCGGAAUGUUGGUAACCAAUGAGUCCAACUGCAUUCGUCUGCCGCAUCAAAGCCCAUUAUCUUCACUAGUUUUAUGGAAGGCAGAAGGCCCCCCUGGAAAUGCUGAUUUGGCUGUGUUUUGUUUCUCGACUUGUGGGCAGGUUCUUAACUGAGGUUUAUAUGCAGUCCUGUAGUUGCUUGUUUCCGUUUCAGCAUGUAUGAAUGUGGACUUGUUGGUCUGGACCCGUGACCUGUCAGUAUAUGUUGGAUGGUGUUCUGUGGCUUGGUGGUCUUUGCUGAUGUACCAUUUCAGUGUAAAUGUAGGGGCAACCCUAAGAUCCUCUGAUAUGAGCGAGUGAAGUUACAGGUGAACAGUA